UACGUAGGGGGCAAGCGUUGUCCGGAUUUAUUGGGCGUAAAGAGCGUGUAGGCGGCCAGGUAGGUCCGUUGUGAAAACUGGAGGCUUAACCUCCAGCUGUCGAUGGAAACCAUCUGGCUAGAGUCCGGAAGAGGAGAGUGGAAUUCCUGGUGUAGCGGUGAAAUGCGCAGAUAUCGUGAGGAACACCAGAGGCGAAGGCGGCUACCUAGACAAUUGCUGACGCUCAGGCACGAAAGCGUGGGGAGCAAAAGGG
rnacentral:rRNA from 1 species